rnacentral:piRNA from 1 species
UUCUGUGCCAGGUGACGACAAGGACGC